CGCGUAUUUUGCCCAGGCGGAGCUCGACCGCCGAGCGAAGUGAUGGUCCGGUUCAUCGAUGACCAUCGCGAUGUCUACGGGGUCGAGUUGAUCUGCGCCACGGUGCCGAUCGCCCCG
rfam:Pseudomonadales bacterium RIFCSPLOWO2_02_FTLL_63_210 rifcsplowo2_02_scaffold_288622, whole genome shotgun sequence.